GCAGAAGCUGUCCAGGGCAAUGAUGAAUUUCAAGUUUCUUCCUUUGAAGGACAGGGCCCGGCUAAUGUGACACAUCCUUCCUGAAAAUGAUGCGUUUCUAGGUUUCUGGCUUAAGACACAUCACAUAAUAUCUGGGUGUUAGCGACACAUGUGACCAAAUGGCUGCUCCCCCAUCAAUAAGGAGAGGCAGUUCUGAGCAGGGAGUCUGUCACUGCCAUGGUCACGUGGCCCAUGGACCCCACCCCUGGAUGAGUGAGGCUGAGACGGGGUGCUGCUGGGGAAUUCCCAUUCCAGACUGCUCAAAAAACUUGGUGGUCACAGAAGGAUAGGAUACUGGCAGCUUGGAAGGCUGAAGGAAGAGACUUCAUGGGAGAAUGAGACCUAAGGAAUCUCUAGUUCCUAGGUACCUGGAAAUCCGUACACAUCCCCCUGACCAGCCAAAGUCCCAGUUGGGAAACCAUGUGGAUAUUGCCUACAAUAUGCACUCCUUAAACCUUUGCCCCCAGCCCCUUCUCCCUCUGCCAGGACCACAGACCUUUCCAGGUGUCCCAGAGCUACUUGGGACCAUAUGAACUCAAUAAACAAGUGAGCAGGUUCUUCUUGUGGGUUUCAAAUGAACGUAUGGCAGGACCAUCUUCAGACCUGUUGAAAUAUCUCAACAUCCUGCUAAGUUAUGCUGCCAGGAAAGAGACUGGCCCAACUGGAUGGCUGCGGCCCCUUCAGUAGAACUGUCUGUCGCUUGUUCCAGGCUUGGCAUGAAGCACAGCUGCAAUGUUUGGCCACUUUUCCUUGAACUUUGCUACCUUUUCAUUUAAUGAUUGCCAGCCUCAUGGGCACUCCACUGUGCAUGGAGUCGGGUAUGGAGGAGUGAGGUGGGUGCAAAAAUAAGUCAAAAUGUCUCUAUCCUCAAGGACUUUAUGGUCUAGCAGACGAGAAGAAUACAUAAGCAAUGAAUUAUGAGUCAAGAUAAGAUGAAAAAAAAAGCUAAAUUGGGCUCUGAAUCUGAAAUGACACAGAGCAGGAUCUUUGAUCUCAAUCUCCUGACUAAACAAAGAAAUACAUCAGUUCCUCCAUAAUGAUUCCAUACUUAUGUCAGUAGUUUGAGAAAGAAGUUUAAAAAUCAACGGAUGAAGAGACUCUUAAUGUUUAACUCCCUGCAAAUAUUUUUCUGAACAGAUAUUAUGACUCUUUUCUAGUGUAUGUAAUCAGUACUCUUUUCAAAUAGCUUUUGUGAAAUUUGCUAGAACGAUUCACCUAGAGUGUUCCUAGCCCCUGUCUAUCAGAGCUUGGGGAGCAGCUCUCCCUGCCCUCCACAGGAUAGCUCUGCAGGGGAUCUUAGGUUGAACUUCUUGC